rnacentral:rRNA from 1 species
UACGAAGGGGGCUAGCGUUGCUCGGAAUCACUGGGCUUAAAGGGCGCGUAGGCGGGUGCUCAAGUCCGUGGUGAAAUCCUCCGGCUCAACCGGAGAACUGCCUCGGAUACUGGGCGUCUCGAGUGUGGUAGGGGUAUGCGGAACUAUCGGUGGAGCGGUGAAAUGCGUUGAUAUCGAUAGGAACUCCGGUGGCGAAGGCGGCAUACUGGACCACCACUGACGCUGAUGCGCGAAAGCGUGGGGAGCAAACAGG